CGGGGUGAGUAAUGUCUGGGAAACUGCCUGAUGAGGGGGAUAACUACUGGAAACGGUAGCUAAUACCGCAUAACGUCGCAAGACCACAGAGGGGGACCUUCGGGCCUCUUGCCAUCGGAUGUGCCCAGAUGGGAUUAGCUAGUAGGUGGGGUAACGGCUCACCUAGGCGACGAUCCCUAGCUGGUCUGAGAGGAUGACCAGCCACACUGGAACUGAGACACGGUCCAG
rnacentral:rRNA from 1 species